UACGUAGGGUGCAAGCGUUGUCCGGAAUUAUUGGGCGUAAAGAGCUCGUAGGCGGUUUGUCGCGUCUGCUGUGAAAACUCGGGGCUUAACCCCGGGCCUGCAGUGGGUACGGGCAGACUAGAGUGCGGUAGGGGAGACUGGAAUUCCUGGUGUAGCGGUGAAAUGCGCAGAUAUCAGGAGGAACACCGGUGGCGAAGGCGGGUCGCUGGGCCGUAACUGACGCUGAGGAGCGAAAGCGUGGGGAGCGAACAGG
rnacentral:rRNA from 1 species